rnacentral:rRNA from 1 species
GCAUAUCAAUAAGCGGAGGAAAAGAAAC